rnacentral:rRNA from 1 species
GCGUGAGUGAAGAAGGCCUUAGGGUUGUAAAGCUCUUUCAGCGGGGAAGAUGAUGACGGUACCCGCAGAAGAAGCCCCGGCUAACUCCGUGCCAGCAGCCGCGGUAAUACGGAGGGGGCAAGCGUUGUUCAGAAUUACUGGGCGUAAAGGGCGCGUAGGCGGCCGGUUGCGUCAGAUGUGAAAGCCCCGGGCUCAACCUGGGAACUGCAUUUGAUACGGGCUGGCUUGAGAGCGAGAGAGGAGUGUGGAAUUCCCAGUGUAGAGGUGAAAUUCGU